UUUGCGUAGAGAGUGUGUGGGGAGAGCAACUCUCCACGGGACAUCGUAUGCUCGCAUAGCUGAUCUUAACUGCAUAUAGAAGAAAAAGGAUGAACCUGGAAGGUCAAACUCAGCUUGAAGACCAUUAAAA